rnacentral:pre_miRNA from 1 species
UACAAUGUUUCGACUCUUCGUUUUAUUUGAAAUUUUUUUGCGAUUAAUAUUUUUAUUGUUACUAGAUGAUAAAAUAUGAAUAGUACUUUAUGCGUGACUAUUUUUUUAAAUUUUUGUAAAAAUUUUUCAAAUAAGAUGAAUGGUCAAAUAUUGGACACGGAAAAAC